UACGUAGGCAGCAAGCGUUGUUCGGAGUUACUGGGCGUAAAGGGUGCGUAGGCGGCUUUUUAAGUCUGGUGUGAAAUCUCCCGGCUCAACUGGGAGGGUGCGCCGGAUACUGAGGGGCUAGAGUGUGGGAGAGGAAAGUGGAAUUCCUGGUGUAGCGGUGAAAUGCGUAGAUAUCAGGAGGAACACCUGUGGCGAAAGCGGCUCACUGGACCAUAACUGACGCUGAUGCACGAAAGCUAGGGGAGCAAACAGG
rnacentral:rRNA from 1 species